GGUCGAGGAGCACCCCGCGUCGCGCACUCGUCCCAACCGGGGGCCGC
rnacentral:ribozyme from 1 species